rnacentral:rRNA from 1 species
AUGAACGCUGGCGGCGUGCCUAAUACAUGCAAGUCGAGCGAACAGACGAGGAGCUUGCUCCUCUGACGUUAGCGGCGGACGGGUGAGUAACACGUGGAUAACCUACCUAUAAGACUGGGAUAACUUCGGGAAACCGGAGCUAAUACCGGAUAAUAUAUUGAACCGCAUGGUUCAAUAGUGAAAGACGGUUUUGCUGUCACUUAUAGAUGGAUCCGCGCCGCAUUAGCUAGUUGGUAAGGUAACGGCUUACCAAGGCAACGAUGCGUAGCCGACCUGAGAGGGUGAUCGGCCACACUGGAACUGAGACACGGUCCAGACUCCUACGGGAGGCAGCAGUAGGGAAUCUUCCGCAAUGGGCGAAAGCUUGACGGAGCAACGCCGCGUGAGUGAUGAAGGUCUUCGGAUCGUAAAACUCUGUUAUUAGGGAAGAACAAAUGUGUAAGCAACUAUGCACGUCUUGACGGUACCUAAUCAGAAAGCCAUGGCUAACUACGUG